UGGAUUUUACGGCUUCCAUCUCCUCGGUCAUCGGCGUUGCAGCACCCAAAGGUUUAUCUUCGGCGUCGUAGGCUUGCAGCUCUCUACUUGAUGUUGAUGGUAAUCGGUAAGCAUGUUCUAUUUUUUUUUCUUUGUUUCACCAAAUCAAUAAAAUACUGUUAUUACAAGAUUAAUUUUAAAAAAUAUAUAUUUAAUUGCACGUUGGAGCAAUAGAGCUUAUUAGAGUAAUGCCGCCAGCAGAGGAAACUUGUAUAUUUUGAAGCAAGCUAGCUACCAAAUAAAAAGAUGAAAGAUGGACAAGAAAAAGGAAUCAAAUUUAGUGGAGUAUGAUCAAAUUUCCGUGUUUGAAUUAAUUAAUUUUUUAUGCUCUGCUGUCUAGAAUUUUUUAUUCCAUUAGUAGCAUUUUUUUAAAUGUCAUAUUUAUAUUAACUAACGUAGCUCUUUUAAAAUGCUACGAAAAAACACACCUUUGUAACACUUGAAAAAUGCUACAAAAAGGAAAAAAAUAAGUAAAUAAAUAUACCGCCAAGAUUAGAAACACGUGGGCGCUCUCUUUUCCCAAAAUUUUCCCAUUAUAAUAGGACACCUAAAGCCUAAGUCCCCUUCUUUUUCUGUCUCUCCCUGGAUUCCUCCCCAAAUCCCCUGAUUUUGUCAAUUUCUUUUGUUUUUUAGUAGAUCUCUCAAAAUCAAAAAGUUGUAAUCGUUAAUUCUUUAUUGUCCAAAUCCCCUGAUUUGUCAAUUUCUUUUGUUUUUUUAGUAGAUCUCUCAAAAUCAAAAAGUUCUAAUCGUUAAUUCUUUAUUGUCUCAAGACUUGUUGCUGUGGGGUCUUCCGUUAAAUCUUUCUCAUCAAUAUUUACAUGUAAGCUUUAUUUUUUUAAUUUAAUUUACCGAAUUUAGGGUUUUCAAUUAUCAAUAUAGGACUUCUUAUGCUGAUUCCAUUUUUAUUUGGAGCAAUUUCUUAUGUUUGGUUAAUUUAUUUUUCUUACAUUUAGAAGUAAUAUAUCAAAGACUGAAAAUUCUUAUUUGUGCCUUAACGAUUCGAAAUUUUGUAUAUCAAUCACAUGAUAGAUUUUUUCAUCUUAAUUAUUUCUUUGUAGUUAGCAAAUACUAAGGUGGAUCUGAAAAUUGUAUCUUAUGAAUUUGAGUAUAUGGACAUCUAUUAGAAUUUGAUAUGCGUUCAUGCUUUUGGUCUUGUUAGAAUCUUUAAUUUAUUCUCUUUAAUCUACUCCAUAAACCAAGGUGUGGAAGGGGAAAUCUGUAUAUUGUUUUCUUGUAAAAUACUGAUUUAAUUAGAACCUGCAACGUAAAAGGAUUGAUCCUUAACAACCUGAAUUUUCUCCUGAGCUACGACAUUUAUGGGUUGCAUUGGCAUCUUAAAGGAGAGAAGACUUCAAUUGAGGUAGAUCUUUAUGAUGUCUCAUUAUUUGUGGACUUUCCUUUACUAAUUUCACUUUUGUAGCUUUUGUUGGUUGUACUGUUGAUUCUGUUGUUUCUGUUGUUUUGUCACUUCUCUUAUUGAGUUGAUUUUAUUUCUUAUGUACUUAAGCCUGUGAAUAUCAAUCCCUCUAUCUGGUUAGGGUAAUGGUUAUUGUUGCAUUAUUCCAACCAAUUGAUGCUUAAGUGAGAUCCAUAAGUGAAGAUUUAUCUUGCCGAAUUUAGUCUCAUGCUCGUGGUUUUCUUUUUGCUUUGUUUAAAUGAAGAUUUAAAUUAAUCUAAAUUUGUUUGCUCUUAGUAGUGUUUGAGUUUUAAUUGUUAAGCUAGAAAACUUGAAUUUGACCUAUUAAAUUGGUCAUUAGACACAAACAAGGUUAUCAAUAAGCCCAUAUUGCUUGGUUAUUUAAAGGACUAGAUGUUGAAAAAUCUCAAAAGUUUCUCAAAAUUCGUGAUAGCCUCCUGUUUUGUUUAUAUGAUUAGCAUCAAUAGAUAAUUCUUUUAGGUUAAAUUGAAUGCACUAGUAUUAAGAAAAAAAGAAGAAAAAAAUUGUUGCAUAAGGCGAUAUUUAAUUGGUACAAAGGCAUGAGUAAGUUAUCAUAAUUGCUCCUUGCAUUUGUGUAGUUCGUUCAUAUUCUUAAACUUAUGUCUAACAUAGGUACAAACUCCUAUAGAAGAUUAAUUGGGUAGAUGGAUUGUGAAGAAAAAUAAAAUGGCUCCCAUGUGAAUUAAAAAAUAUAGUUAUAGAAUUUCUUUGUUGAUGUUUGAGUUGAUUUAUUGCAACAUUUGAUUUUCAUUUCGUACUAGCUAUUGCUAUUUUUAUCCUUUUGCUGUAUACUUAUUAUAUCCUUAAUGACCUAGCAUUUAUGGAUUACGUGUCAAAGUUGAAUAGUUUGGAUGAAUGUAAGCGUGACUUGAAGUUAAGUACACUUUAAUUUUUCUAAUUUACUUAUAUGAGAAAAGUUUGUUAAGGAGGCAUUAUUUUGUUUCUUUUUUAUUAACAAAAUAAAAUUCUUAUUUAUUUUUAAAUUCAUAAUGCAGGUGAUCAAGGAUAUUGUGCAAAAAUGUAUUGAAGAAUGAGGACAAAUUGAAGAUAAUAUACAGUACUAUUUUAAAGGUCACUAGAAAGUAUAGAAGUAUGACAGUUGCAUACUUAUUUUUUGUAAAUGUUCUGUAGUUGAACGUUUAAUAUAUGAUUAUGGAUGUUUAAGUAUUUUUAUUUUAUCAACAAAUCAUGUAUAAUUUCUUUUUCAUCAAUAGAAUGACUAAAAUGAUGUAUGGGAAAUUAUCACCGGUAUACCCUUAAAUGACACCGGUAUCAAACGUGUUAUAACACUUUUCACUUAUAUCACUCGUAUACUCUAAAUUGACAAAAGAGUUCUGGCGUCCACCUUUCUGUUUAUUACCGUUAACAACUUAACAGAAUUUGAGCAAAAAAACUAUUUUACUCUUUAAACUCAAAUAAAUUGAAAAAGACAAAUUUAUCUCGAAAUUGAAGCAAUUGAAAAUGUAACCGUUGAGAGCCAAUAACGGUCAUUUUCAACUAUAUAAUGACCUAAAACACAACAAAAAAAAGCUUACAACAUUCAAUCAAUUUCCAACAAGAAAUCAGCCACCACACACCUGAUAAUCUCUUUAAAUUCAAUCAAUUUGCUACUCUUUUCCAAUUAAAAACCAGACGCACAUUAACAAAUCAUUGAUCCAUCACAUACCAAGCAAUCACAUACCAAGCAAUUCAUAUGAAAAUGGCCUCCAGUGAAGCAUCAAGUUCUGCUGACAGUGGACAUACCAGAUAUGAUAAAGUAAAAUGUCAACCAAAAUACUGCAAGUGUGGCGUGCAAGCAGUGGCUAUGGUGUCAACUACAUUGCAAAACCCUAAUGCAAUAUUUUGGUCAUGCAGGUGGAAGCAUUGUGGAGCGAGGCAUUGUGGAUUUUGGGAAUGGUUCAUUGUGGAAUCUCUCAUAUAUCUUAGUACUAAUGGUUAAGAUAAAGAAAAGGCUAAAAAGCAUCGAAGGAAAGCUUAAAUGGAUCCUAAUUGUGCUAGUGUGUGUCUUUGUAAUUGUCCUUAUGAGAAAGUAAUGUAACACACAAAGUUUGUAUUCAAGAAAUAUUCAACAGUCAUAAUUAUCAACUAAAACAUCAUUAAUCUAAUCAUAACAUAUCCAAAAUAUGCAGAUAGCAACAUAUCUCCUUCAAAUACAUAUUCCAAAAACCAUUUCAAUAACUUAGCUCAUGCAAUAGCAUAAUUAAGUUCAGUUGAAAUCACAUAACUAGCAUAAUAGUUAAGGAAAUUGAAGUUGAUAAAUUGUUUCCAACAAAACAUUGCAACAUGAGCAUCAAACGCAUUACAAAGCACCUGUGAUAGUGGACUCAUUACAAAGCACCUGUGACAGUGGACGCUUGUGAUGGAUUCUGUGAUUGGCUGACUUGGGAUAGAUUGACAUGUGAAGUAUUUCCUAUAUUACAGAAAAGAAAAUAAAAUAAGCUCCUUAUAUGCAAUUAUGAAAUAUGAACAAAAAGAAACGAAAUUCAACCUCUUUUUUUGCUUGUUCCAGCAACUCCAACAGCAUUUGCGCUUUUUCUUUUCAUCGAUCCAACACUGGAGCUUUUACUUCGAUCACUUGGUACAUGGUCUCUCCUCGCUGUAUUUCUUGUUCUGGUUGGCUUUGAUGGCUGGCUUAAAGGAUCUGCUGACUGGCCUGAAGAAUUUCCAAUUGACAGCUGAAAAAACAUAACUUCUGUGUUAGAUGACAAUAUAAACAAUAAACAUAAAUGAAUAAAACUGAUGGACUAAAUAGAUACAUGAUAAUUAGUGCUUGUAGUUUUGGUUGCCCUUGCAACCGAUGGUCUCAAUGGACAAGAUCUUACAUUGUGGUUUAAGCCACCACAAAUCGAGCAAUUGACAAAGAAUCUCCUGCUGCGUUUUUGAGGUUCAGUGGCUGUUUUCUUCCUGCAUUUCUUUGGCCUUCCAAUCUUUUUCCGCACAAUUGGGGGAUCAAUUAGGGGCCUAUCACCACGCUCCCAUGUCCGCUCAUCGGGAAUUGGAUUAAACAUAACUGAAUAUGUAUUAAUGUAGGCCUGCUUGGUAAAGCAAAAUGGAAUAUACUCCUCAAUUUCAUGUCAUGCAUAGCCUAUGGCAGCCAUAGCAUGAGAGCAAGGUAAGCCGGCAAUUUCCCAAUACCCACAAUCGCACGUCUUGUCCUCUAAUUUCACUAUAAACGUCCUAGCUGGAUAAUAAGAUUUAUCCAUGACUUGAAAAUUCAUGUCUCCUGAGGGUUGCACAAUCAUUUUUUCUCUUUUCUUGAAAGUUUGAUCCAACUCUUUGUAAAUCCUAGGAGCAAUAGUUUUUUGCCAAGUAUUUCCCUCAUUUCUUCUCUUUGUAAAUCUUUUCAUCAGUCUGCAUCUAAUUUCCUCAAGCAUUGACAAAGUAGGUCGGUCUCUAUAAGGCAGAAUCCAACUGUUGAAGCACUCAGAGGCAUUGUUGUCAGUCCUUUCUACCUUGCAGUUUCUGUCAUAUGUAUGCAUAGACCAAGUGUAUCCCUGCAGCUCUCUUUCCAACUAAUUAUAUACUGCUAACUUUUCUUCUUUGAUCUGUGCCAUUGCCUCCUCAUAAUCAUGGUUGUUACUACUUUUUGCUGCCUUCCAAAAAAGAGUCCACAAGUUGGCACCAAUAUGUUCUUUCGCAAAAUUAGCAUACACAUGCCUACAACAUGCUCUAUGAUAGGCAGCAGGCCAUGUGUUCGGAAUUGCAUUCAACAACCCCUUUUGCCUAUCACUAAUAAAUGUUACCCGCCUUCCAUCAUCUAAGUAGCUAUGCAAAUGAUCAAGAAACCAAGUCCAUGUUUCUGUGUUCUCAAUCUCGCAUACACACAAUGCUAAUGGGACAAUCCCUUUAUUAGCAUCUGAAGCAACAGCAACCAACAAAACUCCACCAUAUUUUCCCUUUAGGUGACACCCAUCGAUUCCAAUGCACGAUCUGCAGCCAUUCAGAAAAGCAUUUCUUUGUGCUGGAAAUGCAAUAAAAAAUCUUUGAAAUAGACAUUUCUCAGGAACAGUGACUGCAUCACAUAACACUUUGCAAAUGGCUCCUGGCUCCAGCCCGAUGAAUAACUGCAACGUACUGAAACAGCUUCUCAUAGCCCUUCGAAUGGUCACCAUAUACUAGAAUCCUUGCUUUUUCUCUAGCCCUAUACAUUGUGAGCUUCUCAAUCUUCAACCUGAAUUUUUCUUGCAUAUAAUUCUUGAGAAGAGAUAUCUUGACAUUUGCAUCAAUAGUAACAUGUCCCUUUAUCAUUUCAGCAAUCCAUGUUGAAGUAACUUUCACAUAUUUCUUGGUAAGCUUGCACUCAUGCUUCUUCUGAUAUCCCCGCAGCUAAAAACCAUUCUUAUCAUUCAGUCUUGCACCUUUAACAAACCAUGGACAGCCAGCCUCCUUACAAGUUGCAUAAUAUCUCCGCGGUUCACUAUAUUUUAUGCUAAUGUUAAACCCUUUCGUAAUCAUAACCUCAUGUAACACUUGUCUAAAGUGAUUCACAUCCCUAAACACAUCACCUAAUCUCAGCCUAUGUAUCCCAUCAGUAUCUAAUUUAUACUCAUGUUUCUCUAAAUAUUUUGUAAACUUCACACUGCCAACAUUGAUGUCAUCAUCAGAACAAUUCACAACCAUUUCGAAUGCCCUACUGUCAUCAUCUAGUAAACCAUCUCCACCUCCAUCACUAUCACUCUCGCAUUGGCUGUCCUCACUUCCCUUACUAUCAUCAAUGUCCUCAACAGACACAAUAUCAUCAACAGGCAUAGUCGGUAUUGGUUGCACAACAAGUUCCUCACCAUCACUGUCACUUCUUUUGUCUGACCAAUCUGAUAAUAAUUUGUAUUCAUCAAUUUCACCCUCAUGAAUAGUUGCAGUAGCUUCGUGUCCAUAACCCAUUUGCAUAUCAUCGAAUUCAUCCGUGUUACUCCCCCCUUCUUGAACUGUAUGGCUAACUUCUGGUGUAGCUUGAUCAUUCAAGAUAUCUAUAACUUCUGAAGACAGGUGUACUCCUAGGUUAAACAGCAAUGAUUGUAUUAACGGAGCAUCUGGAUUUUGAGGGCAUAAAACAGGCACAACUUCAACUUCAAAUGUAGUAAUACCUAUCAAAUUAUGAAACCCAAAUAAGCAUUUCAUCCCAAAUUCAGAAUCUAAAACAACCUUAACUUUACUAUCUGGGUUCAUAACAGUCAAUAAGAUUUUACCAACUAUAUCUAACCCAUGUACAAUAGUUAUCUUCAAUGCCUCAGCCUUUAUUCUAUCAACAGUCCAAUCUUCAGGGUUAAUCAUACCGACAUGAUGUUUUUCUCUUUUGAAAGAAAUCACUAGCUCCAUUGUUGACAUGUCUACUGUAAUCCCAAAAAUAACACAAUGUGCUUAAAUAUGGAUCCUUUAAGCUUUUCAAACAUAGCGUAGGAAAUAAAUAUCAUACAAUACUCAACAGUUCGCAAUUUGAAAAAAGCCCCAAUUAGUUUUAACGAAAUACAUGUAACAGCAAACAGACCCUCAAUAUGCAAAAACCAGAACCGAUAUCAUUUACCAUCUAAAUGCACUUCUAUAAACCUAAAACAUUGAUUACAUAAGAAUAUAAAUAACCCAAAAAAUAAUCACUACUUAUUUCUUCGUUUUCUACAUUCUAGGGUUUGUAACAAAAAUUCAAUUAUCAUAAAUUCGGAUAAUUUCAAAUUAAUUCUUACAUCCAUUGACUAAAUAAGAGAUAAGAGAUAUAUUGCAUGAAAAAAAAAAUUAUAUAUGAACAUACCUAACAACUCGAUGCUUCGCUCGCUGGAUUCGAUCGAAAUCAGCUUACUCUUCUGUCAAUGUCCAAAUCAAUUUCCACAGCUAUCACUUAAACUUGUUUGAUGGUCAGAUUUUGAGGGUUCUUAGUAAAAAGAUGGCAGGCAUGCAUACAGUCUUGCACCGGUUGUUCAUAUGCAUGCAAACUUCUCUCGAUGUGAAUAAAGAAUGAGGAAGAUGGACCACUUCUCUCUUUUUGUCUUUGAUAGUGAAAUGAUGUUGUUUCUUUAUAAUUUUUUUUAACCAAAAUAAAAAAACGACGUCGGAUUUUGUUUUUUAUUUUCAGUUACAGUGAAAUGGUAGCGUUUUCGGGGUAUUAAAACGACGCCUUCUUCCUUUGCAGCCUCUUCUUUAUUAAAAGAUAUAUUACCCUUAUGACGUCAGCAUGUCUUAACGGUAGUAAACGAAAAAAUGGACACCAGAACUCUUUUGUCAACUUAGGGUAUACGAGUGAUAUAAGUGAAAAGCGUUGUAGCACGUUUGAUACCGGUGACAUUUAAGGGUAUACCGGUGAUAAUUUCCCAUGAUGUAUUGAGUUAAUAAAUUGAAUGAAGAACAUUGAAACGCUAUGAUAGCAUUAGGGGUGGGCGUCGGUUCGGUUCGGUUUCGGAAUAAAUUUUCGGUUUUGGAUCGGUUCGGAUUCAAAAAUUUAAAAAACCGUUUGGUUUUUUUGAAAAUAAAAUCCGAACCGAAACCGACCUAUCGGUUUCGGUUCGGUUUUUCGAUUUUUUAACGGUAUUUGAAUUUUGACUUUCGGUGAAGGACCAUUUUGAAAAUUUGCAUACAAAUUAGGCCACAAUAGAAUUCUUAAAUGCAAACAUUUCCUAAGUAUUGGGCCACACUAAUAUUAUAUAAAAGAGAUGGAUCUAAAUGAUAUUAUUCCUCCAUUAUCUUCUACACUUCGCGACUUUCUCUAUUUCUCACCUAGCAACAGUGACAUUUGCAGAUCCAGUCACCUAUACAGAUCCAAACAAAGCUAAUAAAAUCAAAUACAAUUAAUAAUCUAAUACAGUAAUAAUAAGUAAAGCAACCAUGAAAUAACAAAAGAUUAAAGAGUUAUUUAAAAAAAAAAAGACCCAUUUAAAAAGAAAAAGAAAAAGAGAGAAAGCAUAGCAAGUAAGUGAGUUGGCUGGCUGGCUGGCUAGCGAGGGAGCAAUGGAAGGAACGGUAGUGGUAGGUCAGCAGUAUCAGCCAUCGACAGAUGGAGUUAAGAUUUGGGUGUGUGGUUUGUGCGGUCGUGGUUUUGUGUUUUGUGGUUUGGGUAUAUCUAUCAUAGUGAAAUUACAAAAAUACUUUACUAUUGGUUCGGUUCGGAUUUUAAAAUUUUUUAUCUGAAAUCGAAUCGAACCGAACCAUUCGGUUCGGUCUUUAUAAUUUCAGAUUUUUUAGAGUUAAAAAAUCGAACCGAAACAGAAAAAUCCAAACGAACCGAAUUUUUUUCGGUUCUGGUUCGGUUUUGCCCAGAUAGCAUGAUGCUAAUGUUUUUGUAGCAUUUAAAAUGCUUUUGUAGCAUUUUAUAAAAGUUAUGUUAGACAUUUGGAAGGGAACUGUACACGAUUCGGUAGUGCUUUCUAAAUGCUAUCACUUUGAACAAUGAUAGAAUUCACCUAAAACGACAAAAGCUGAUUGCAUUGCACUAAUUCAAUGCUAUGUAUCAUAAUUUGUGGCAUGUAAAAAACGCUACUAAUGUGUAACACUUUUAGUUACACCGGCUAACUUAGUAUUGUUCAAAAUGCUACCAUUCACUUUUGGUAGCAUUUUGAAGAUGCGAUCACACACCGUUUUUGUUGUGGUGAGAUGAAGAAAAGAAGGAGGAAAAACGAAGAAGCAAAGAAAAUGUGGACCAGGGGAACUUUGUAGAAAGACAACGCUCAAAUAAUAAUAAGAGAAAGGGAACGCCAGUGGUCCAAGAUCAGAAUAAAAGCAAACGCCCAAAGAAUUAUCGGAAGGAAGUCCUACAAAAGCCAAGGUGCAAUCAGUGCAAAAGAACUCACCCUGGGGAAUAUCGAGCCAAUACUAGAACAUGUUUCAAAUGUGGAAGGGAAUGACACUUCAUCAAGGACUGCCCAGAGAAUGGUACGCAACAAGAAACUGCUAAUGCUCGAGUAUUUACACUUACCAAGAUGGAUGCGGAAGGAAACCCUUCAGUAAUAUCAGGUGAACUAUAUAUCUCCAAAACUCUUGUACAUGUGCUAAUAAACUCAGGAGCUACACAUUCAUUUGCCUCACCAGCAUUUAUUAGGAAAAUAAAAAAUGUCCUUAACAUAAUAAAUAAGCCUUUUAGUGUCAUGGUACCAUCAGGUGAAGUAUUGAACUCGAGACAAUUAGUUAAGGCAUGUGAGGUCAGUAUUAGUGGUCAUAAACUAUGUGUUGACCUAAUAAUUCUAGAGAUGUAUGACUAUGAUGUAAUUCUUGGCAUGGUUUAGCUAUCAAAGCACUAUGUUAAGAUAGAUUGCAAGAAAAAGGAAGUAACUUUUCAACCACCACAAAAGGAAUCAUUUACAUUCAAAGGAGAAUGCAAAGAGAAAAGAAUGUCUGUCAUCUCUACCUUAAAAGUAGCCAGACUAUUAAAUAAAGGAUGUAAGGGGUAUUUAGCAAGUGUGGUCGUCAAAAUAGAAUAGCGUAGACUAAAGUUGAAAGAUAUUCUAGUGGUGAACAAAUCGAUUUGUUACCAAGAACUGGCCCAAGUUCAAAGGCGCCUUAUAGGAUGGCCCCAUCAUAAUUAAAGGCGUUAAAUAGUCAAUUGCAGAAGUUACUAGACAAAGGCUACAUACGUCCAAGUCAUUCACCAUGGGGAGCAUCGGUACUAUUCGUAAAAAAAAAAAGUAUGGAUCAAUGCGAAUGUGCAUCGACUAUCGAGACCUAAAUAAAGUAAUUAUAAAAAACAAGUACCCACUUCCGCGCAUUGAUGACUUGUUUGAUCAGCUACAAGGAGCAUCAGUAUUUUCAAAGAUUAAUCUAGGAUCAGGAUAUCACCAAUUAAGAAUUAGAGAGGCAGAUAUUCCUAAAACAACAUUCAGAACACGUUAUGGACAUAAUGAGUUUGUCGUCAUGCUAUUUGGUCUAACUAAUGCCCCAACAGCCUUCAUGGAUCUCAUGAACAUGGUUACCUAAACAAAUUCAUAGUGGUGUUCAUUGACGAUAUUUUGGUCUACUCACAAACAAAGGAAGAGCAUGUUGAGCAUCUAAGGAUCACUCUUCAGACUUUAAAGGAGAAGCAACUUUCUGCAAAAUUCAAGAAAUGUGAAUUUUAGCUCAAAAAAGUUAUAUUCCGAGGACACGUCGUUUCUAAGGAUGGAAUUUCAAUAGACCCCUCGAAGGUGGGAGUUGUGAGCCAAUGGUCCAGACCAACUAAUACAAGAGAAGUCAGAAGCUUCUUGGGUUUGGCUGGAUAUUAUCGAAGAUUUAUAGAAGGGUUCUCCAAGAUCGCAAUGCCAUUAAUCCAAUUGACAAAGAAAAAUGUCAAGUUUGUGUGGUCACCAGAGUGCGAGGAAAACUUCAAAGAACUAAAAUGACGAUUAGUUACUGACCACCCCCCCCACCAAGGCUAUAGUACACCCGUCACGGCGCUCCGAGGACGUGGCCCCCUGACCUGCAAGCACUAUUUUUGGGCGGGCCUCUGCACACGUUGUUUCUAAGGAUAGAAUUUCAAUAGACCCCUCAAAGGUAGGAGUUGUGAGCCAAUGGUCCUGGCCAACUAAUACAAGAGAAGUCAGAAGCUUCUUGGGUUUGGCUAGAUAUUAUCGAAGAUUUGUAGAAGGGUUCUCUAAGAUCGCAAUGCCAUUGACCCAAUUGACAAAGAAAAAUGUCAAGUUUGUGUGGUCACCAGAAUGCGAGGAAAGCUUUAAAGAACUAAAACAGCGAUUAGUUACUGCUCCAAUCUUAGUCAUUCCUAACAACUCUGAGGAAUAUGUCAUCUAUACCGAUGCUUCCAAAAGUGGCAUAGGAUGCGUUCUCAUGCAAAAUGGAAAAGUCAUUGCAUACGCUUCCAAACAAUUGAAGGAGUGCAAGAAAAAUUAUCCAACGCAUGAUUUGGAGUUAGCAGCAGUGGUGCACGCAUUAAAAAUAUGGCGUCACUAUUUAAUAGAGGCAUAUUGUAAGAUUUACACUUAUCACAAGAGCCUCAAAUACUUCUUUACACAAAAGAAGUUAAAUAUACGACAAUGGCAUUGGCUAGAACUUGUCAAGGACUACGAUUGCGAAAUAAACUAUCAUCCUGGAAAAGCAAAUGUGGUAGCAGAUGCACUAAGUAGAAAGUCAAGCAUGUCAGCUUUAAGGAUCCUUAAAAGAUUAAGAUAACAGAAAAAUUAGCCAAUAUGACGCUUCGCUCAACCUUGUUAGAAAAGAUUAAGGAAGGGCAGGAAAGCGAUCCUACUUAAAGAACUUGAAGAUAGAGGCCAACUCAAAGGAAACGUCGUUUAAGAAGUAAGAGAGAUGAAUCAUAUUGUUCAAGGACAUGAUAUGUGUACCAGAUAAUAAAGAUAUAAAGAAAGAAAUUCUACUAGAAACUCACACAACCCCAUAUUCACUUCAUUUUGGCACAACAAAAAUGUACAAAGACGUAAAAAAGCAUUAUUGGUAGCCUAGAAUGAAGAAGGAUAUAGUUGAGUUCGUGGCAAAAUGUCUCACUUGUCAACAAAUUAAAGCGGAGUACCAUAGACCAACAUGACUUUUGGAAUCCAAUCAAGUUCCUCAAUGGAAGUGGGAAGAAAUCACAAUGGACUUCGUCAUUAGUCUUCCAAGGACUACAAAAAUGCAUGAUGCUAUUUAGGUGAUCGUCGAUCAACUCACAAAGUCUGCUCAUUUCUUACCUAUUCGAAUGACGUACACCGUGCACCAACUUGUAGAAAUAUACAUAAAAGAGAUAGUAAGACUUCAUGAUGUACCCAUUUCUAUUAUUUCUUACUAAGAUGUAAGGUUUACUUCGACAAUCUGGGAAAAGUUACAUAGCGCUAUAGGGACAAAAUUAAAAUUUAGUACAACAUUUCACCCUCAAACAGAUGGUCAAUUAGAAAGAACAAUUCAAACGCUCGAAGAUAUGUUGCGAGCAUGUGCUAUCGACUGUCAAGGAUCAUGGAGUAAGUAUUACCAUUGGUUGAAUUUGCCUACAACAAUAGCUACCAAGCAACAAUUAGCAUGGCACCAUACGAAGCUCUAUAUGGUAGAAAAUGUAAAUCGCCUAUUCAUUGGGAUAAGAGGGGUGAGCAAAGGUAUCUUGGACCCGACUAUAUUACUGCCUCAUCUGAAGCGAUCAAGAAAAUACAUCAAAGAAAGCAGGCAGCUCAAAGUCGACAGAAAAGUUAUGAGGAUAAGAGACGAAAGCCUUUAGAAUUUCAAGUUGGUGACAAAGUAUUUCUAAAAGUUGCCUCAAUAAAGGGAUCAAUAAGAUUUCUUCUCAUGUGCUAGAUUAUAUGCCUCUUCAAUUAGAAGAAGACUUAACCUAUGAAGAACGUCCAAUUCAAAUUCUUGAUAAAACGAUAAAGGAGUUAAAGAACAAGAGGAUCCCUUUAGUUAAAAUACUAUGGCGAAAUAGCUCAGUGGAGGAAGCAACAUGGGAAUGCGAGGAAGAAAUUUUCUAACUUAAAUAAAUUGUGAGGUACAAUUUUCUAACUUAAAUAAAUUUCCAUUAAGUAUUAAAAUAAUAAUAAUAAUAAUAUAAAAUAUUUAAUUGUAAGUAAUGAUGACAUAAACAAUACCAUAAGUGAUUAUGUAAGAGACGUUUAUAAAGAUAGUUAAGAAUUCUAGAAUUUAGUAAGCUAUUGAUAACUCUAGGAAAUGAGAGUUAUUACAUAAAUUCUAGACUUGAAUCAAGGUCACUUAGAGAACAAAUAAGGUGUUUUUAUUACAUUUUGGGUACCUUUUGCAUAAACAUUCAUUUUAGUUGAGUUUUAAUAAGUUUUGAUUGAAUCAUAGUAAUUUGUGCUAAAAAUAGGUUUUAAAUUGUAGGUUUUAAAUUCGUGAGAGGAUGUUAAGGCAUUAGAAGAGCAAGAGGAGGAAGGAAGAUGGCCACAAAAGAAGUAAAGCACAAUCGGGAAUAAAACAGUGUUGUAACGGCUGUUAGAGCAACCAGUGCUAUAGCAAAUUGGGCGCAGUGCAGGAGAAAAUUUAGGCGCGAGUCAACCCUAAAGUCGCGAUCUGCAUGUUUCCUAAUUUAAACACAUGCACGCUCAUGGCUUUGGUUUUAACCUAAUUUGCAAUAUAAAAAGGAGGCGUGCACCACAUAGAAGGGCGGCAAGGAAUUAUCAUUAGAGUAAUUAGAAGGAACGAAGGAGAAGAAGAUCAGAAUUGAAGAGUGUUGUUACGGCAACAUUGGACAAUCGUGCAGAAUUACUUGACUUUGAUUUUCAUGUGCUCAACUUAUAUUUAUCUUUUUCCUUUAAUUGAUUUGAUGUAUUCCGAGACCAAUAUAUUUGUGUUUAUUUUUCUCAUCUAGAUUACAAACUAAAUUUACUUGUGGUUGAGUGACAAAUAAUCCAAUAGGUUCUUGACUGUUC
rnacentral:lncRNA from 1 species